rnacentral:rRNA from 1 species
GACGAACGCUGGCGGCGUGCUUAACACAUGCAAGUCGAACGGAAAGGCCCUGCUUUUGUUGGGUGCUCGAUUGGCGAACGGGUGAGUAACACGUGAGUAACCUGCCCUUGACUUUGGGAUAACUUCAGGAAACUGGGGCUAAUACCGGAUAGGAGCUCCUGCUGCAUGGGGGUGGUUGGAAAGUUUCGGCGGUUGGGGAUGGGCUCGCGGCUUAUCAGCUUGUUGGUGGGGUAGUGGCUUACGAAGGCUUUGACGGGUAGCCGGCCUGAGAGGGUGACCGGCGACAUUGGGCCUGAGGUACGGACCAGAAUCCAACGGGAGGCAGCAGUGGGAAAUAUUGCACAAUGGGCGGAAGCCUGAUGCAGAAACGCCGCGUGCGGGAUGACGGCCUUCGGGUUGUAAACCGCUUUCGCCUGUGACGAAGCGUGAGUGACGGUAAUGGGUAAAGAAGCAACGGCUAACUACGUG